UACGAAGGGGGCUAGCGUUGCUCGGAAUUACUGGGCGUAAAGGGCGCGUAGGCGGAUAUCUAAGUUGGGGGUGAAAUCCCGGGGCUCAACCUCGGAAUUGCCUUUGAUACUGGCAAUCUCGAGUCCGGAAGAGGUAAGUGGAACUCCUAGUGUAGAGGUGGAAUUCGUAGAUAUUAGGAAGAACACCAGUGGCGAAGGCGGCUUACUGGUCCGGAACUGACGCUGAGGUGCGAAAGCGUGGGGAGCAAACAGG
rnacentral:rRNA from 1 species